rnacentral:rRNA from 1 species
GAUGAACGCUGGCGGCGUGCCUAACACAUGCAAGUCGAACGGAGUAAGAACUUCGGUUUUACUUAGUGGCGAACGGGUGAGUAACGCGUGAGAAACCUACCUUUCAGUGGGGGACAACAGUUGGAAACGACUGCUAAUACCGCAUAACGUAUCGAGAGGGCAUCCUUUUGAUACCAAAGCUUUAUGUGCUGAAAGAUGGUCUCGCGUCUGAUUAGCUAGUUGGUGAGGUAAACGGCUCACCAAGGCGACGAUCAGUAGCCGGUCUGAGAGGAUGAACGGCCACAUUGGGACUGAGAUACGGCCCAGACUCCUACGGGAGGCAGCAGUGGGGAAUAUUGGGCAAUGGGGGAAACCCUGACCCAGCAACGCCGCGUGAAGGAAGAAAGGGCCUUCGGGGUUGUAAACGUUCUUUUAGCAGGGACGAAGAACGUGACGGUACC